rnacentral:rRNA from 1 species
CUACGGGCCGCUGCAGUGAGGAAUAUUGGUCAAUGGGCGCGAGCCUGAACCAGCCAUCCCGCGUGCAGGAUGACGGCCCUAUGGGUUGUAAACUGCUUUUCUAUGCCAAGAAACCUGAUUACGUGUAAUCAGUUGCCGGUAGCAUAGGAAUAAGCAUCGGCUAACUCCGGGCCAGCAGCCGCGGUAAUACGGAGGAUGCAAGCGUUAUCCGGAUUCAUUGGGUUUAAAGGGUGCGCAGGUGGGCUUGUAAGUCAGUGGUGAAAUGCUGCCGCUUAACGGUAGAACUGCCAUUGAUACUGCGAGUCUUGAGUAUGGUUGAGGUAGGCGGAAUGUGUUGUGUAGCGGUGAAAUGCAUAGAUAUGACACAGAACGCCAAUUGCGAAGGCAGCUUACUAAGCCAUUACUGACGCUCAGGUGCGAAAGCGUGGGGAGCAAACAGGAUUAGAUACCCCCGUAGUC